rnacentral:rRNA from 1 species
GUCGAGCGGGCGUAGCAAUACGUCAGCGGCAGACGGGUGAGUAACGCGCGGGAACAUACCUUUUGGUUCGGANNNNNNCAGGGAAACUUGUGCUAAUACCGGAUAAGCCCUUACGGGGAAAGAUUUAUCGCCGAAAGAUUGGCCCGCGUCUGAUUAGCUAGUUGGUGAGGUAACGGCUCACCAAGGCGACGAUCAGUAGCUGGUCUGAGAGGAUGAUCAGCCACAUUGGGACUGAGACACGGCCCAAACUCCUACGGGAGGCAGCAGUGGGGAAUAUUGGACAAUGGGCGCAAGCCUGAUCCAGCCAUGCCGCGUGAGUGAUGAAGGCCCUAGGGUUGUAAAGCUCUUUUGUGCGGGAAGAUAAUGACGGUACCGCAAGAAUAAGCCCCGGCUAACUUCGUGCCAGCAGCCGCG